AUGGCCGUCCAGGCCAUACACCUCCUCCUCGCCACGGUUCUACCGUGCGCCGCCCUCGCCGCCUUCUCCCCGGACUUCCAAUUUUUCCUCGCAUGCGGCGCCAACUCCUCCGUCUCCUUCCCGCCCGACUCCACCGCGCGCACCUUCGUCUCGGACGCCGACUACCUCUCUCCCGUGGACGCCCCGGCAGUGUCCGCCAGCUCCACCCCGACCUCCCCGCCAGCUCUGUACGCUGCCGCGCGCGCAGACAUCUCGGCCUUCUCGUACCGCCUCCCCUACCCUGCCUCUCCGGACGGGUCGUCAUUCCUCGUCCUGCGCCUCCACUUCUUCCCCUUCUUCCCCGCCAACUCCUCCCAGUCUGUCGUCAACAUCUCCUCCUCUCGCUUCGCUGUCUCGAUGCUUGACACCUACGACCUGAUGUUCUCCUUCAGGCCACCGGCAGCCGGGGUCGUCAAGGAGUUCUUUGUCCCGCGGGGCGUGUCGGGCGCCAACUUCACCAUCACGUUCACCCCGGACGCCGACUCCUCCGCGUUCGUCAGUGCCAUCGAGCUGUUCCCGGCACCGCCAGAGCUGCUGUGGAACAACACGGCGACGCCUGUGGACGCUGCAGAGAGAGACGAGAUGGGCCGGUGGGAGGAGGGCAUGUGGCAGGAUGACCUGUGGCAGCAGCAGCCGAUGGAGACGGUGUAUCGCCUCAACGUCGGCGGGCCCAUGGUGACUAUUGAGAACGACAUGCUAUGGCGUACGUGGCUCCCCGACGACCCCUACCUGCUCUACGGGGGGCAGUCGGAGCUCAAUUCGACCUCCAGUCCGAUAAUCUACGACCCGUCCAACGGAUACUCAAGGGAGGUGGCGCCCGACGUCGUGUACCAGACCCAGCGCGCGGCGAACUUCGACCUCACGUGGAUGUUCCCGGUGGUGCCGGGGUCCCGCUACCUUAUCCGCCUCCACUUCUGCGACUAUGAAGUUGUCAGCUCCGUCGUCGGCGUUGGCAUCGUGUUUGACGUCUAUAUUGCGCAAGCCAUUGGAACUCCAGACCUCUCGCCGACUGCUCGGGCAACUCAGUCGAACGAGGCCUUUUACAUGGACUACGCGGCCAGGGCGCCGAGCGCCGGGAACCUCACCGUCAGAAUCGGCGGGUCGGCGAAAAGCAUCGGAAGCCGCAUACUGAACGGGCUGGAGAUCAUGAGGAUACAGCCCGUCGAUUUGAGGUCGAGGGGGUCGCUCGCGGCAAAGAGAAUCGUUAUCAUCACUAUGUCAGCAAUUGUCGGCGCCAGCGUUCUUGCUUGCGUGGUGUUAGGCUUUUUCGCCGUGCCAUACACGAAGGACGGCGCCUCCGGCUGGGCUGAGCAGUUGAGGAACCUGUGGUCUAGAGAGGGGAAGGCCGGCGGGAUGGAGAGGGUGAGCACGAAGCUGCACAUCUCGCUGGCGAAGGUCAAGGCCGCCACGGACAACUUCCACGAGCGCAACCUCAUCGGCGUGGGCGGGUUCGGGAACGUGUACAAGGGCGUGCUCGGUGACGGCACGCCCGUGGCGGUGAAGCGCGCCACCCGCGCCUCGCAGCAGGGGAUGCCGGAGUUCCAGACGGAGAUCGUGGUGCUGUCCGGCAUCCGGCACCCGCACCUGGUGUCGCUCAUCGGGUACUGCAGCGAGCAGGCGGAGAUGAUCCUGGUGUACGAGUACAUGGAGAAGGGCACGCUGCGGAGCCACCUGUACGGCUCCGACGCGCCGGCGCUGUCGUGGAGGCAGCGGCUGGAGAUCUGCAUCGGCGCCGCGAGGGGCCUGCACUACCUGCACCGAGGAUACGCGGAGAACAUCAUCCACCGCGACGUCAAGUCGACCAACAUCCUCCUCGGGUGCGAAAACGACGGCGGCACCGGCGGCGUGAUCGUGGCCAAGGUGGCCGACUUCGGGCUGUCGCGUGUGGGGCCGGUGUUCGGGGAGACGCACGUGAGCACGGCGGUGAAGGGCAGCUUCGGGUACCUGGACCCGGGCUACUUCAAGACGCAGCAGCUGACGGACCGGUCGGACGUCUACUCCUUCGGCGUGGUGCUGCUGGAGGUGCUCUGCGCGCGGCCGGUGAUCGACCAGAGCCUGGAGCACGGCCAGAUCAACAUCGCCGAGUGGGCGGUGAGGAUGCGCCGGGAAGGAGGGCUCGACAGGAUCGCCGACCCACGGAUCGCCGGCGAGGCGGACGAGGAGUCGCUGCGCAAGUUCGCCGAGACCGCGGAGAAGUGCCUGGCAGACUGCUGGGUGGACCGGCCGUCCAUGGGCGACGUGCUGUGGAACCUGGAGUACUGCCUGCAGCUGCACGAGGCGAACGUCGCCGGGGACGAACUCGGCAACAGCGUCGCCGUCGCCCCGCAGCUCCCGAGGGUCGUGAGCGUGAGCUUGUUGACGGACGACGUGGACGAGACUUGCUUGAGCAUGCCCGAGGUCGACGAGAGCAAGGUGAUCUCGCAGCUGAGCGCCCGCGGCGAGGGGGACGAUGAUCUGAAGUUGGUGCACCAAUUGUAG
rnacentral:rRNA from 1 species